rnacentral:rRNA from 1 species
UACGUAGGGGGCAAGCGUUGUUCGGAAUUACUGGGCGUAAAGGGCGCGUAGGCGGCACGGCAAGUCGGGAGUGAAAGGCCUGGGCUCAACCGAGGAACUGCUUUCGAGACUGCCGAGCUAGAGUGCGGAAGGGGCAACUGGAAUUCCCAGUGUAGCGGUGAAAUGCGUAGAUAUUGGGAAGGACACCGGAGGCGAAGGCGGGUUGCUGGGCCGACACUGACGCUGAGGCGCGAAAGCCAGGGGAGCAAACGGG